rnacentral:misc_RNA from 1 species
UCUCCGUUGGUGAACCAGCGGAGGGAUCAUUACCGAGUUUACAACUCCCAAACCCAAUGUGAACCAUACCAAACUGUUGCCUCGGCGGGGUCACGCCCCGGGUGCGUCGCAGCCCCGGAACCAGGCGCCCGCCGGAGGGACCAACCAAACUCUUUCUGUAGUCCCCUCGCGGACGUUAUUUGUACAGCUCUGAGCAAAAAUUCAAAAUGAAUCAAAACUUUCAACAACGGAUCUCUUGGUUCUG